UUUAAUCUUCUUUAUUUUUUUGUUAGUUGUUAAUAAUAACAAUUAUUUAUUUAAUGGAAAAAAGAAAAAAAUAUUUAAAUAAAACGCCACUUGCUAUCUAUAUUAACUAAGCAUUUACAUUUCGUGCAGUUGCAUCGAUUAUCUGAUCAUCGGAACAAUGUUUUUAAAGUGAAAGAAAAAUUCUACUAUUUGUAUCAUUUAUGUUUAAUAUUAGACGAUGUGAUGACUUACCUCUUGUGUGUACUUACUCUGCUACAUCUCGAAUAUCUUUUUGGAAAGUUACUGAAUCAAUCACAUAGACAAGUCCUUUUGCGGAUAAUUUGAAUUGAUCAAAAAAUUUAUAACGCAGACGUUCAUGUCCAGGUAUAUCAACAAUUUUCAGAGAACGCUAAAUACACCAACAACUUUAGAAACCUAUGUUUUUGAUGUAUGUGUUUUAACAAAUUUGGAACAAAGUAGAUGUGCAUAUAUCAAUGUUUUACCAGCAUCACUAAGACCAGUUAACAAUAUACUAUUUCCUAUAGAUCUUCUUUUAUGCCAUAUGGCAAAUAAUACUAUGUAAAAAAAAUGAACAGAAACUUAUAAAAAAGGUAGUAAUGUUUAAAAUUGAGCUAUUACUACCAAACAAAUGGCUUUACAAACUUAAUCUUAUAAAUAUUAGGAUAAAAACCUAAAAAAUUUUUACACAAAAAUGUACCUAUUUUUAUAUUAUGUAUACAACUAUAAUAUUAUGUUUGUUUCAUUACUUGCAGCUAUAUUUAUAAUGUUUAUUAAUUACUGUGGCUAUAAUGAUAUACAUUUUUUUUAAAAAAAUAAAUGUGGUAUUUAUAGAAUGUUACAACUGAAACUAUGAGACUGUGAA